CUAUGUGAAACUAUGUUAAUUCCUCCUGGCCCCUGGAGUAAGCCGGCAGUGCUAACAGAGUAUCAGUAGAGCUUCACAGAUUACCUAUUUUAUAUUGUAAAAUCUACUCUUGUCAGACCACUGUGCUAGUCAUAGGAUAUAGAAGAUGAAUAUUAUACAAAUAGAACUCACUAUUUGCCCUUUCCGAAUUCACAACCACACACACCUGCUUCUUCUGUAUCAAGGAUGCUUAAAUUAUAUUAUGUGGAUGGCCAAAUCCUGAAGUAUCAGGUAAGAUUGUGCAUAUGUGUGUGUCUGUAUAUAUAGAGAAG
rnacentral:lncRNA from 10 species